AAAAAAAAACAUGCAUUAUGUUUUUUUGUACAAUUCAUUUAAAAACAACCGUACGGUAAAACAACCAUGCAUAAAGAAAAAACAACCUUAGUGUGAAACAACCAUACUGUAUAAACAACCGUACAGUUAAACAACCAUGCAGUAAAAAAAACAAGUGUACAUCACUGUUAGAAACGUCCGUUCAGUACAACCAUGCAGUUUAAAACAACCGUACAGCAAAACAACCAUGUAGUAAAAAAACAAGUGUACAUCACUGUUAGAAAUAUCCGUUCAGUAUAACUAUGCAGUAUAAAACAACCGUACGGUAAAACAAUCAUGCGGUAUGAAACAAGGGUAUGGUAAAUCUAUCAUUCGGUAAAAAACAACUGUACGGUAAAACAAUCAUGCGGUAUAAAACAAGGCGUACAUCACUGUUAGAAACAUCCGUUCAGUACAACCAUGCAGUUUAAAACAACCGUACGGUAAAACAACCAUGCGGUAAAAAAACAACUGUACAAUACUGUUAAAAACAACCAUAUGGUAAAAUAACCUUGUGGUUUUAAACUACUGUACGGUAAAACAACCAUGCGUUAAAAAAGUGACUAUACUGUUAAAAACAACCGUACGGUAAAACAACCAUGCAGUAAAAAACAAACAAAAAAAUACAAGUGUACAUCACUGUUAGAAACAUCCGUUCGGUACAACCAUGCUGUAUAAAACAACCAUACGGUAAAACAACCAUGAGUUAAAAAAGUUACAAUGCUGUUAAAAACAACCGUACAAUGAAACAACUAUGCAGUAAAAAAAAAA